UACGGAGGGUGCAAGCGUUAUCCGGAUUCACUGGGUUUAAAGGGUGCGUAGGAGGGCAGGUAAGUCAGUGGUGAAAUCCCCGAGCUUAACUUGGGAACUGCCGUUGAUACUAUCUGUCUUGAAUACCGUGGAGGUGAGCGGAAUAUGUCAUGUAGCGGUGAAAUGCUUAGAUAUGAACAUAGAACACCAAUUGCGAAGGCAGCUCGCUACACGAAUAUUGACUCUGAGGCACGAAAGCGUGGGGAGUCAAACAGGA
rnacentral:rRNA from 1 species